GGAUAUGUGUUACUGUUCAUCGGAAAAAAAAAAUCAAAAUCAAAGUCAUUUCCGAUUAACUCUUUUCCAGUUUCCGGCGAAAUUUUCCAGAUGAUUCUGCGUCUGGCCAGUUGAUUAUUUAUCUUUUGGCCCUAAAAAUUGGAUUUGAUCAACCUUUCUCUGGGUUUUGGGAGGAGAUUAGUUUGUUUAUCAUUUUUCAGGAAAUUAUCUCUGUUCUUCCUAUCGCUAAAUGAGGACAACUCAUUUGCCAUACCAGCUGGGCCACUACCGCUCCGCCUCCGGCGAGGGUCUCCAUUUCUCAGGUAGCAUGUUGCACCCGGCCGCCGCCGUCGAUGCACGCAUCUCUAGCUUUCGGCCUUCAAGAGGGUCCGAUCGAAAAUCCGGUCGCAGCCCAACAAUCGCUGCCCCAACAACAAUCGAAGCUCGCCGUUUUCCAUCACCAUCUCCGGUGAGAAAUCGAAAUCCCAACUUAAAUUGGGUAUACCAAGAUCCCAAUCGAAAGUAUUUCUCUUAAAUCGGCUCCAGCGCAACACUCAAAUAUCGAUCUGUCAUCCUCCUGAAUCUGGACAACCCCGUUCACUCCUCCGGGAAAGCACAGAACCGGGCAUCGCCGUUGCACAGGAGCCACGCACUGUCGUCGGUCCCUGCUUCAUCUCGUACGAGCCGCGACCAAAGCCACGGACAACUCGUCUCCUCCAGGCCAAUUUAUUCAAUCUAGGGCAGAGCUUGAUCCUAAAUUGCAAUUCCAGCGAACCCCAGCUUUCUCUCAGCUGCAGAGCAGCGCCUUGGCGGCGUAGAAGGUCACCGACACGGCCGUCGCCGACCAAGGCGAAGUUAGUGGCAGACUUUGCUGGUCACCUCCAAGAGCUGCUGAUAUGUCAGCCAAGGCUGCUAGUUGACACCAAGAGGAAGCUCAGGCAACCAUAGAAUGAAGAUAAGUCCUUUAUCUCUCUUUAUUGCGCUGAAAUUGGGGUGAAUCGAUUACAUUCCGCUGUUUUUCUAGUCGAUUGUUGGUUUAAUUGACUGAGAUAGGGCAUAACAUAGUGCAAAGUGCAUUUGUGAAGGAAAAAAUCUUUGCUAUACUUCUUGAUAUUAAUGGUAUAGGCUGUUGCUAUACUUCACCGAUGAUACUUCUUGAUCCCUGUUUUGCUUGGUAUAGGCUGUUGCUAUGUUUUGN
rnacentral:lncRNA from 1 species